AUGGGGACGGUGAUAUCGAGGCUGAGGGUGAGGGCAAGUGCUAGGAUGAAGGCGAGGACGAGCUCUCCUGAGUACGAGGAGGAGGGGUUCGAUGAUGAUGAGGAGGUGGAGGAUGUGGAGCCAGAGCUAGACCCUGCAGAGUACGAGGAUGACGAGGCUUACGCUCGAGUGCUUCAGGACGCCGAGGAGCGUGAGGGCGGGCGGUGGAGCAUGUCGAGGAUCACAUAA
rnacentral:rRNA from 1 species